rnacentral:misc_RNA from 1 species
UUUCCGUAGGUGAACCUGCGGAAGGAUCAUUAAAAAUGAAGCCGGGAAACCGGUCCUUCUAACCCUUGAUUAUCUUAAUUUGUUGCUUUGGUGGGCCGCGCAAGCACCGGCUUCGGCUGGAUCGUGCCCGCCAGAGGACACAACUCUGUAUCAAAUGUCGUCUGAGUACUAUAAAAUAGUUAAAACUUUCAACAGCGGAUCUCUUGGUUCUG